AAAACGACUGGCUCAAGGCUCGCGGAUUUUCUUUAGAAGGAAACUUUUGUAUGUUUAAAUAUAAUUAACUCUCAAGGAUUUUUGGUUAAUUAGCCCGGUUAUGCUUCCAGAAUUAGACAGAACUAUGACGUUUCAAAGACGAAUCCCAUUGGACCUAGGGGCUGCUUUGGUUUUGUAUUAUUUAUGACCUGGAAUCAACUACUUUAAGGGCUGUGAUUCCCAGAACACUUUUUGUUUCAACUCUGGUACGUUCUUUCCUAUUCAGCAAAUAAAGAUUACAGUGCACCAUCCUUGGAUAAAACGUCCUCUCAGUACUAAAGCCAAAAUUCUUAAGUCUAGAUACCAUAGCUCAGUGAUCCAGAGACUAGUUAGUUCUCAGCCAAAAUUUUCCAUGGCUGCAAUUAAAUGGAGAAAUAAUUGGCUAGAGAGCAAACCAACAACUAAUGGGCAGCUGUGGGAGGACUGAGUUGUCAUCUCUGGUCUAGCAGAGAAAUUCUCUGAACCUGCAUGUAGGGUUACGUGGACCUGCAGUUUGCAUCCUGGAGGCUGUGGCUUCAUAACAGAAAGUGUGAAUUGUUGAACUGCUGACUCCAGUAUUUUUACCACAAGAAGCAAAUGCUGAAUUGCCCAUGCUCAGUGGCUUGUUGAGGCAAAAGCUUGAAAUGAAGAUGGAGUUCUGCCUCUGCAAACAAUAAAAAAAAAUAAAAAAAAUAUUGGUGAAGAGAAUAGUGUACAAAAGUCAGAUUUAAAACUCAUGCUAUUAGUACAGAAUUAGUCAGGAUUUAAUAACUUUACAUUUGAAAAAUUAAGGUGCUAUAACCUGACCAUAAUCCAAGAAUAAUGCAGAUAAUAGGAAAUAUCUCAGAUUUGACUAAUAAAAUGCUGGUUAACUUAAAUAAAUUAUAUUAAAGUCCAUUUAUUUAUUUAUUUAAAUGACAAGCAAAGAUAUUGUAAAUGCCUUUGAGUGAUCAGAAACACAUAACACAGUGUUUCAAGUAGGAUAACUUAAUACAUUAUGAGUGAUUCAAAAACCACUGUAAUGCUACAGUGGAACAAAGGCUUUGGAAUGCAGCAAUUAUGUGCCCUUUCUGGAUUUUGCUGCAUGCAUGUAUGGCAGUCCAGAGGCACAGCUAAUUUAAAUUAGCCAUGUAUUGUACCUCAGAAUAAUAUACUAUGAUCUGAAGCAAAGCAAUGGGAAUGCACACUAUCUUUUUACACUGUACUCUUAUCGUUGUCUCUGUCUCUGUUUAUGGUGGUGGUGAUGGUAGGCUGUUACUGCCAUAGCGGUUAGGUAUUGCAAGGCUGUGCAUGCAUGUCUGUGUGUGUGUGUGUGUGUGUGUGUGUGUGUGUGUGUGUGUGUGUGUGUGUACUUGUAGAGACAUGAUUAGGCUAUCUCAGUGUCUUUGUGUGCAUGUGACUAUUUGUCUGUGGAAUGUGAAUGUAAGUUGGAGUAUGCGCAUACCUCUCAACCUCUAAGAGCAAGAAAUUUGGACAAAGCCACACCAAUGUGGGGACAAAAGCC